GUACUCGCUUCUGCAGUACAUUAAGUAAAAUUGGAACGAUACAGAGAAGACUAGCAUGGCCCCUGCGCAAGAAUCAAUCAGUGUUCGACUUUUUAACAAUUCUU